CGGCAGCCUGCACAUAGCAGCCCAGCUCUCCAGCAGCCUGACGGACCGACCGUGUGUCUGUUCCACGCCGGACUGGCGAGCGUGGCUCUGGCGGCAGCGCCGCGCAUGCGCAGUGCAGCGCCACGCCCCCUCCCCGGAACCGGCUGCCGGCAGCCGGUGUGCAGGGGCUGCUGUGAGCCGAGGGAGGAGCGGAGGCGUCGCCGGGCUGCGGCUGCACGGAGGGAGAAGGCCGCGCUGAGGACGUGGUUGCCCGUCCCUCCCUUGGGGAUGCCGUCGACUGCACCCGCCUCGCCUGUGCCUGGCCUGGCUCGCCUCGUGGCGUGGGGGCGAAAAGGGACAGGCGGCGGAGCGCUUACCGGCCGUGGACAGGAGCUGCCCUAAGGGAAGCUGGAAUGGCCAGAGAAAGGUGAAGAAGAAGAAGAAGAAGAAGAGAUGGAAGGCUCUCCGGCCGGCAGCUGCCUCCCGCUGCAGGCAAGAGAGCGCCUGCC